rnacentral:rRNA from 1 species
UACAGAGGGUGCAAGCGUUAAUCGGAAUUACUGGGCGUAAAGCGUGCGUAGACGGUUACAUAAGUCGGGUGUGAAGCCCCGGGCUCAACCUGGGAAUUGCAUUCGAGACUGCGUAGCUAGGGUGCGGAAGAGGGAAGCGGAAUUUCCGGUGUAGCGGUGAAAUGCGUAGAUAUCGGAAGGAACACCAGUGGCGAAAGCGGCUUCCUGGUCCAGCACCGACGUUCAGGCACGAAAGCGUGGGGAGCAAACAGG